GUGAAUGCAAGUAGCAAACGCUUCUUCUCAACUCCUGACGUUUUCUUCCAGAGAUAGCAUUAUUCUUUCUCCUUUAUUCCUUCCACCGUACCGUAAGGCGGGAGAGUUCAUCAUUCAUUUUAGAUAGGGGAAGGAUGAAAGUCAAAGCAAGAGUGCUCAUGGACACCUUUUGAGGGCCCUGUGGAGUGGAGAUGCCCCAUUUGACCUUUCAUUCCUCAACAGAAAGAUUCCACAGAGAUAAUGUAGGGAGCUUACAUGAGCGAGAGCUGAGUUCCUGAACUUAGUUAUGUAUGAUUCAGAAACAGUUCUAUGGAGCUAAAAGCAUGAAUUAAACACAGACCCUGCGCUCAAGGAACUUCCAAGUCUAAUGGCAGAGGUGAACCAGUGCAUAUCACUUAUACUCAUGGAAGACCAAGAAAAAAGGAAGAAGAAAAAGAAAAAAUUUCACUCUGAAGUUGCUAAAUACUCCAUCAAUGAUGUAUAUGAAAGGUCUACCCUUGGCCCUCAGAGCUCAAUGUUAAGAGCUUGGAUCCUGGCUGUGAUGCUAGUCGAACUUGGGGAGCAGAAAAUGCACAUGGAGACUGGAGAGGGAGAAAGACUAGGAAGAAGCAGAGAUGGAUUAAUUCCCAACUGAGAUUGAAUUUAAUGACUGAAAGGUCAUACUCCCUUGGUCUGAUUAACUUCUGGCGAUCCAUCACCAACUGAACUCUUGGAACUUUCUCUGAGAAAACAGGCUUAAACUCUGGGAGACACUGAGGCCACAGAAAAUUCAAGGCAAUCAGUAGGAGUCUACCAGACAGCACUUUCAUGUCAGUAGAACAGUGUCCAGGACAGCAAGAAGAUGACAGAGUCAGGAGACAAGUCACAAAAUGAAGCUAACAGCUGGAGUUCAAAGGAAAACAA